rnacentral:rRNA from 1 species
ACCAAGGCAAAGACGGGUAGGGGGCGUGAGAGCGUGACCCCCCACACUGGCACUGGGACACGGGCCAGACUCCUACGGGAGGCAGCAGUGAGGAAUAUUGCGCAAUGAGCGAAAGCUAGACGCAGCAACGCCGCGUGGGUGAUGAAGGCCUUCGGGUCGUAAAACCCUUUUCUGGGGGAAGAGUAAGGACGGUACCCCAGGAAUAAGCCUCGGCUAACUAUGUGCCAGCAGCCGCGGUAAUACAUAGGAGGCAAGCGUUAUCCGGAUUUACUGGGCGUAAAGAGCGUUGAGGCGGCUUCGUAAGUUGGACGUGAAAGCUCCCGGCUUAACUGGGAGAGGCCGUUCAAUACUGCGGGGCUUGAGGACAGCAGAGGGGGGUGGAAUUUCCGGUGUAGUGGUGAAAUGCGUAGAUAUCGGAAGGAACACCAGUGGCGAAGGCGGCCCCCUGGGCUGCUCCUGACGCUGAAGGCGAAAGCUAGGGUAGCGAACGGGAUUAGAAAUCCCGGUAGUCCUAGCCGUAAACGAUGGAUACUAGGUGUAGGAGGUUAAAAUUCCUUCUGUGCCGGAGCUAACGCGUUAAGUAUCCCGCCUGGGGAGUACGGUCGCAAGGCUAAAACUCAAAGGAAUUGACGGGGGCCCGCACAAGCAGCGGAGCGUGUGGUUUAAUUCGAUGCAACGCGAAGAACCUUACCAGGGCUUGACAUGUAGGUAGUAGUGAGGCGAAAGCGGAACGAUCCUUCGGGAAGCCUACACAGGUGCUGCAUGGCUGUCGUCAGCUCGUGCCGUGAGGUGUUAGGUUAAGUCCUGUAACGAGCGCAACCCCUGCCGUUAGUUACAAGUGUCUAACNGGGACUGCCCGGCCCAAAANCUGGGAGNNGAAGGUGGGGANNUGACGUCAAGUCAGCNAUGGCCUUUAUGUCCUGGGCUACACACACGCUACAAUGGCCGGUACAAUGGGUUGCCAAGCCGCGAGGCGGAGCCAAUCCUCUAAAGCCGGUCUCAGUUCGGAUUGUAGGCUGCAACCCGCCUGCAUGAAGUUGGAGUUGCUAGUAACCGCAGGUCAGCCACACUGCGGUGAAUACGUUCCCGGGCAUUGUACACACCGCCCGUCACGUCAUGGAAGCUGGUAACACCUGAAGCCGGUGAGCUAACCGCAAGGAAGCAACCGUCGAAGGUGGG